rnacentral:rRNA from 1 species
GAUACCCUGGUAGUCCACGCCGUAAACGAUGAGUGCUAAGUGUUGGAGGGUUUCCGCCCUUCAGUGCUGCAGCAAACGCAUUAAGCACUCCGCCUGGGGAGUACGACCGCAAGGUUGAAACUCAAAGGAAUUGACGGGGGCCCGCACAAGCGGUGGAGCAUGUGGUUUAAUUCGAAGCAACGCGAAGAACCUUACCAGGUCUUGACAUCCUUUGACCACUCUAGAGAUAGAGCUUUCCCUUCGGGGACAAAGUGACAGGUGGUGCAUGGUUGUCGUCAGCUCGUGUCGUGAGAUGUUGGGUUAAGUCCCGCAACGAGCGCAACCCUUAUUGUUAGUUGCCAUCAUUUAGUUGGGCACUCUAGCGAGACUGCCGGUGACAAACCGGAGGAAGGUGGGGAUGACGUCAAAUCAUCAUGCCCCUUAUGACCUGGGCUACACACGUGCUACAAUGGGAAGUACAACGAGUCGCUAGACCGCGAGGUCAUGCAAAUCUCUUAAAGCUUCUCUCAGUUCGGAUUGCAGGCUGCAACUCGCCUGCAUGAAGCCGGAAUCGCUAGUAAUCGCGGAUCAGCACGCCGCGGUGAAUACGUUCCCGGGCCUUGUACACACCGCCCGUCACACCACGAGAGUUUGUAACACCCGAAGUCGGUGAGGUAACCUUUUUGGAGCCAGCCGCCUAAGGUGGGAUAGAUGAUUGGGGUGAAGUCNUA